rnacentral:lncRNA from 1 species
CAGCCCUGGUACUGGCUACUAGGAAGAGGCACCUGGAGUUCUCUCCCUCUGAGGUCGGGACAACCUCCAGCAGACCUGUCUCCCCCUUUCCUUCAAACAGGAAGAUGAAGCUGGAGAUGAGGCUCGGUAUGAAAAUGAAUACCCUGAGAAAGCAUAGCAGGAUGCCGCCUUCUGUCCUCGGUCCCCAAGCACUGCUUUGAAAAUAGAGUGUUGCUGGCCUAGACUGUUGGGUUUCCUGCCACAUUUUGGCAUCUGCAGCGCCAUGGAGACGGAAAUGGUAGAGAUACGCUCUGCGGGAGGAAAUCAAGAUGAGGGAACUGAAGACUCAACAGAGAUGGCAAGAGAAAUGGCGCCUGACCUUUAGGCCGACUCCAUUCCUACCUUCUUGGAAGGAUGAGUUACUCUGUGGUGGGAUUAGGAGUGUGCUG